CAUCGUUUUUCCCAAGAUGUGUGUUGACUGGGUCAGUUUCCUCCUUCCUUAGGGGUCAAACAUAAGCAGUUUUCCCUCGCCCCCUUUUCUUGUAAAAACUCAGACUUCCCUCAAACCAUUUCAUGGAGAAUAGAUUUGUUAAAAAAUGUGUUAGUACUUGCUCUCUCUAUUCUUUCAUUAGGUCAGAAGCCCCACAGAUGGCAAGCACUGGAUGAUAGGCGAAGGGCAGCAGAACAUGUGGCCUGAAAAUAUGCCCCAUGGGAGUAAGGAUUCGAUGCUGCAGGGAACUGGGAAGAAGUAGACACAGGACAAGCUCUCCGCCCUUCCCCUAUUUACAGCAAUCCAGCCUCACCCCGGGACUCUCUGGCUCACACCCAAGUGUGGAUCUCUUCAGCUUGGAAGGGACGGACCCUUUGCACCCCCCCCCGCCGAGGCAAGGCGCCAUUAGCAGGGGUCCUACUCCUGCUGUUCGAUGCUGUUGCUGACCUCCAUCCCUGGGCAGCACGGCUUCAGCUGUGGGAUUCGAAAUUGUGCACAACAUUGACCCAGGGCUUUCCAGACACUGGAGAGAGUGUACAUUCAAACCCCCGAGGAGCAAAUCGGUGGGUAUACAUUUUCGGGAGGUGAGUUCAUAAUUGUCUGUAUUGUCGUCUCUGGUGUCGGAGGCCCCAGGGCUCGCUGGACUGGGCCUGGGCAGGGGAGUCUUUGGGCCUCUUUUUUUUUAGUACCCUUUGCACAACAUUUUGACUCUUAGCUCCUGCCAGGCGGACAGACCCUCGGUAGUCGUGAACUAGGAGAAAGGACCUAGUUUUCCCUCCGGGAGGGCUGCCUGGCUGGGGCGGCUUACCGCACUGUGGAGGAGGGUCCAGGGGCACGAAGGCCCGUGCACACAGGUGGAUGUAGGUGGCUGCCAGGGUGCAGGCCGGGAGCAGCUCGCGGGGGCCGCAGGCGUCCUGGAUGCAGAGGCGGAGGAAUGGCGUGGGAUCCACCUGCAAUUUAGCACCCCUGUCACGGUCCUGGCCUGCUGCACCCUGGGAGUAGCACAGGCAAAAUCGGGGCUACUUGGGGUCCCCUGGUCUACCUGCUGCAUGGCUUCUGCUGCCGUCUAGACCCGGCCUCCUACUCACCACCCUGAAGCAGCUCCCCAGGCAGGAACGGGGGUCCUGGAAGAAGGCCCAGCAGGUGGGGCUCUGGCCUGGGCACUCCUGAGUUUUCUCCAUGGCCGUGCAGUUGCCACCCACCUGGUGAGACAAAGGCCAGACUCAGGCCUCCCGCCUGGGCCUCUUUCUUCUUGGGCACCUAGAGCAGGGGCCCAGCCUCCGGGGGGGGAUGGCCACCCCCUUGGCCUGAGAAGUUGUCUGCCCUGGGGCAAUCUCUAGCCACGCAGCCCCCCAGGAUGUGUGACCCUGAGGGAGGAGGGGCUGGCACCCCGACUCACCUGCCAGGCGAGGGCGAGCUCCUCCAGGCUGUGGGCCACUGUGCCAUCCGGCAGCAUCAGCUCAGUGGCUGCCUCGUUGUCAUUGGUGCCCAGAAGGCCAGCAGACACCCCUGUGGGGAAAGGGGGCCCUGUGAGAGCCUAUCUUGACCCAGGUUCCAGGGGUGCCUGAACCCUCCGCACCCGACGCCCACACCACCCCCUGGGCUCUAACCCUUUAGAAGAGGGAGAGGAGGGAGGAAAGCAUUGGUGCCCUUCCCUUCUCUGGACCCUCCUCAUCCUGAGUGGCCUGUGCUGAUGAGAGAACUCUUCUGGGGCCGCCCUCAACCCGGAGUAAAUAUCCCAGAAAGGUGGCAGAAUAUGGGGUCAGAGCGCCCUGGGCUUACAUCCCGGCUGUAGGAAGCGGGGCCGGUACGUUAACCUCAGGGAGGUCAUCCAUACUGCAGCCAACAAGGGGAAGGAGAGGAGGAGGAGCGGGGAUCAUGGUGUGACAGCAGCACAGACAAGGCCAGCGGGCAGAGAGCCGAGCAGUAUCUGUCUGCAGUAGGGACGGUCCCAGAGCUGCAGGAUCCAGCAGCGGGGGGAGGGCCUUGGACCUCCUUCCUAUUCUGAGCCCCUCGGACUGUUGUUCUGUGGACGGCUCAGGUUGGAAGCCACAAGGAGCAGCAGCAGCCUGACGGAGUCCCUGGGCAUCCUGCGCCCAGCCCAUCGAGGACCCAGAGAGUUCCCCUGGCCGGAGCUCUGCCGGCCUCAGCCCUGGAAGCUAACUGGGGUCUCAGCGAGGCCAACACCACUGGUGCGGAGGCUGUCAGCUGGGGCCCAGACCCACCGUGGAGCCAGAGGCCUAGCGUGAGCCUGCAGAGGCCAGCUCGCACAUCACAGGAGACUGAGACGCCAUCCUCACUGGUCAGCUCAAUCCUGGGGACAUCCCUCCUCGUCGUGGCAGGAGGCGGAUCAAUGUGUGGACAGGUCUCCGUAGGCAGGGGGGAGUCAUACAGCCUGUAGGUCUGGGGGCCAGACAUGGGCUGAGUGGCCAGACAGCAGGCAACGUGGGGCACUGAGGCGGGGGGCGGGGAGUGUAUGUGGAUGUGACAGGAGGCAGGAACGUGUCAUCUGCCUGGGCCACCUGCCCCUCCCACUCUCGCAUGCUCACCUUCAGGCUCGGGUAGAGGACCAGGGUAGUGCCGUUCAGCUCCACGGACAGCGACAGGAGCCCCGAGGGGGCCUGGUUCAGCAUCAGCGAGAACGUGUCGUGGGCAAAGUCCUUGGCCAGCAGCAGACUGCUGCAGUGGACACCAAGGCUCCACACCUGGCCAUCGAAGGUCACCAUGUACCUGGCCCCGGCCACCACAGCAUGGUCUGGGAGGAAGAAAUCCCAGGGCAGGUAAGAUGGGCCAGCUAUGCCCGCUGCCCUGGGAGCCCAGGGGGACUCCAGGGUGGCCAGAGCCUCUCUGGCCAGUGUCCUUUUGGGCAGCCCCCCCGGGGGGGUCUAUCCCCAGCUCUUCUCCCCCAAUCCGCAGCCCAGCACCCUAAAGUGAGCCAUCUCCAGCCAGGUUGACAAUGAAAAGAAACAAAAGGCUGAUACAGGAUUCCCCGGAUACAAAGUGCCCUGAGGCAGCAAAUCCGUGGAGCCAAGGGUGACGGCUAAGGGCCAGAGGCUGCUGGUGAGGCAAUGAAAACACACUACCGGGGGGUGGGGCAUGUGUACCUCUGUGAAUACACUUGAAGCCACCGAAUUAUGUGCUUGGAAUAAAUGGUGUGCUGUGUGAA